CCCAGCAAUUGAUGUGCUUUUGGCUGAAGUUAUGUUUUAGCAACGACUCGUGUUUUGUUUUACUACAGGGUCCAGCAACCUAAGUCUUUCCUGCUUUCAUUACUCCACACUUUCGUCAGUACUCACAAAACACGCUUCUCCCUAUCCACUCGCGCUACAAAGUGUAUCGAUAAGCUUGCAUUGUUUUUAUUAGCGGCUUGUCUUUUUUUCAUAUCGAGUUAUAUUUAACGUUCUCUGGUCAUACGAGUAACAAUAUGAAUUGGCGGAUGAGGCAGAAAGAAUGAAGUGAGACUCGAGUUUCGCCUUCGGCUGGAAGACGGCCCAGAGGAUGUGGAUAGAGUGGCCCUACAGAGGUUGACCCUGAACCAGACCCCCUGCCCUCCCCUCCCCCAGACAGCAACCGACUACAGCCCUGCCACCCACCACCAAGCUCCCGUCAAAUGGGUCCGCCAAAUCAUCCACAUCGUGGAGGAGCAGUUUGUCGACGCAGAGGAUUGAGGUCCGGUGUGUCCCAAUACACUUUUUAUUAGUUAACUCUUUAAUCGUAAGCUCUUAGGAAUGAUUUGAUUUGGUUUCUCAGGUGUUUAAGUUCUACUUGUUCCUUGGUUUGUUGUUAAUGAAAUAGGAUGUCAUAUUUGUAGCCUCGUUGACAGUUGGGUUACAUGUUAACACUUCAUGAUUUUUUUUGUGUGAAUAAUUUCAAUAGAUUUGUAGUCUAACGCUUAACUAAAAGAGAAAUUGUAGUUUUUAUCUUAUUUUUUUUAAAUACUUUUGUUUUAAAAGCAAUCAACUGAUAUAGGCCCAUGUGUUCAAGUGUCACUCUCCUUUUAAAAUCAAAUGUGUUAAAAUGGAGAGGGCACAGUGCAAGAAUAAGUAUGUUUGGAUAUAUUCUCAAAUGGACUUACCUGAUUGGACUGAUUCUGAGCCCAUGGAGAGCAAGAGGUCAGGUUGCCAUGACUACAGCAUUAAGACACAACCCACUGGGCACAGAUGUCAAUUCAACGUCUAUUCCAAGUUGUUUCAAUGUAAUUUCAUUGAAAUGGUGUGGAAACAACGUUGAUUCAACCAGUGUGCACCCAGUGGGAAUGAAAUUCAGCUUUUGAGAUCCAAGAUAUCUUUAAUGCAAAUAAACCAUGCAUUUUAACAAUAAAACUCUACACUGAUGCUU